UUCAGAUCCGUUGAUUGAGGUUUCCUUUUAUAUUACAAGAGUUUGCCAUACUACUACAAUGAUGAAACUACUUCAUUUUCAUAAUUUAAGUUUUUCACUUAAAAACUCCUAAAUUAUAAGACCAUAGUUCAAGAUGUAACUCAACUGCAUUGAAAGUACAUGAUGAAGAGAUUCAGGAAUGAUGAUCAUCUUGAGAACAGAGACAUCUUAACUGUCCAACAGGUUUUGGAAGGUAUUAUUUCAAAAAUGGAUUUUUUUAAAGUUGUUAUAACUGUACAAAAGAGAAAGGAAAAUUGAAGCAGUAGCUAUCAACGGAGGCAACUCUCACUCCUGCAACCCAAGUAGGAGGUGCUAAUCAGAGAAAUAAAGUAUGACUGUGGAGAUGGAACGAGAAGUGGCAAUAAGGUCCCCUAACAAUGGACAAGUAUGGAAUAAAGUGAAUGCAGAUGGUUCCACUCCUGUUACUUAAUCAAAAGGCUGUGCAGAGUCACUGAAGCCAGCAUAAAGUCAUGUGUUAGAACAACAGCUGAUCUGUAUUAGAGAAGAUUAACUCACAGUGCCAUGGUGGAAGGCCUAGGAUUAUUUUAUGUACUUCCAUUGCCUUACAAGCCGUCAGCGCAAUUAUUGCCCUCCGAUGUGAAUGACUGAUCUGUAACCACAGCUAAACAGCACGCUGCUUAGGGGCCUAGGAGCUUCAUGAAGAUGAAUUUCCAUACCAUCAAAGUACUUUUAAUGGGCUCCCUGAUCCAACCACAAGGCCUGCUUUGCAAGUAUAUAGAACUCAGGAUGAAGGCUUCCUGUCCAAAAGGAUUUGGUCGGUUGUCACUUGACAAUUCCCAGCCAGCACUGGGGAAGAGAAGGGGGAGAUAGGGCAUAAAAUGGCAUAAAAUGAAUCUGUAAUACGAAACUGCCCAGAAAAGGGACUUGUUUGUGACACGAGGCUAAAUCUAACCAGAUCCAUUGGUGAAUUGUGACAGAUGGAGGGACUGUGAGACAGAAGGCAGGCACUAAUCACACAUAAAAUGACCGGCUUGCCUCAACAUGUUCCAUGGAUUCCAGCAAACUUUACACCCUAAUCCAUUUUUAGAACAAAAAACAUCUGGGCCAUAAAUCCUCUAAUCUGCCAAAACACGCUAUUAAAUCCCAUGAUUUGUUGAAAAACACUAAGAUUAAAGAAAGGAAAUAUAAAAUGGCUAACUGCCGUGUUAGGAAAGUGUUAUUAAUACUCUUUGUCUCAAUUAUGAAUGUUCUGGUACUAAGAGCCUUGUCUAAUCAUGUCAGAUUACACAUCCUUGUUGUAUUGCUAGACUCUUCUAUCUGAUCUGCUGAUUGCCAAAAAACAUAGAAUAUGUUCUUGCUGCUUAAACGUUUCUAUUGAAGAAACCGAUGUCAGAAACUGAUGUAGUACUUCAGUGCUGGCAGGUUUCUAAAUGAUCCAUGCCUCUUCCCCUGUUAGUAUGCGCAGAGUAGACCUGGUCCUCUGAUCUCCUUGAGGCAGAAAGAAAAGUUCCAGUGUAGGCGAUAGAAAAGGGAAGCUUGAGAGUGAUUAUAUAUUUUGCCUUUCAGAGCUAAAUUCAUUGGAACUUAUUCAAAGAACAAAACAUCUCUGCUCAUUAUAAACACAAUAGUGAAUUGAAAACAACUCUAAACCUAGAACAGAUCUUCAGAGUUAAUAUUUACUGUAAAAGAUGGUUGUAUUUUAUUAUCCUCAACAUCCUAAUUUGGAUCUCCUGUACAUCAUUCUUAAUGUAUAAUUCUUGAACUUGUUCAUGAACAAUAUUACUCUAGAUAGAAAUACAACUCUUACAUGACCGUGAUGGUCUUGGUAUAUGUUCAUUUAGUAAUAUCUUAAGAGGAUCAGUCUGAUUUUCUUAUGCUCUAACCCCUGUUUAUACACAACCUGGCAUCAUACAUUUUUGUAGUCUAUUUAGCUUCUAUGUAGUCUAAUUAGCUUCUCCAGAACACAAAUAUAUUUGAAAUGGCUUGGCACAUGGCACUGAAUAAAAGCAUGAAUUCUUUAUGCUUUUUAGGGACUGCCAAGAUAACAUUGUGUAGGAAAAAUGAUUAAUAUAGAUGCAAGAGGAAUGUAAAUUAUUAUGAGGGGGAGUAACUGACAGACCUAUGUUCUGUAAUGGUUAUUUCCAAUUUGAGAUGUGUGUUUCUGUGCAGGUAGAAAUAACUGUUCACUUUAAAAUAAACAUUCUUGCUUUUAGAGACUCUUGAGUUUUAGUUAUAAUGCUGUAUGAAAUGUUAACAUUUGUAUCUGCUAUGUUAAAUCAUAAAGCCAUGUAUAUAUGACAACAUUCAAUCUUAAUAUGAUUGUUUGCUGGUUCUUUACAGUUUGUUCUCCUCAUAGUCACCAAAUCCUUAACCCUGCUGACUCCGUCUCCCUCAGCAAAUGGCUUUGCCUCUGAUUUUGCAAAGAGCAGCAAGGCUGAACUCUCACCUUCCUGACCCUACCCUCACUCUUACCUUCUGCUGGCUUAAUUUAUUUCCAUUUAUGCCUAUUUUGCUCCUCCUGUUUCAAUAAAAAUGGUUCCUUGCUUUCAAUCAAGGCAAAUCUCCUAAUAAGAGUUCUAGAUUUCUAUACGUCUUCAUUGAUAAUUCUAUUUCUCAUUUAUAUCAUCUAUCUAAUUGUCUCCACCAUCUCUACCACCUCAACUUGUAGAUACUUAAGGUUCUCUUUUCUCCGAAAACAAGCAAAUAAAGUGUCUUCUUUAACCUUGUUUUGCCCUCUCUUUCCAACACUGUUUCUCUUUUUAUCUUUGAAGUCAAGCUUCUCAAAGAUACAUUAUCUCAUAAUCUCCCAUUCCCUCCUUACUCUCCAGUUCUCAGUGCAAUCUUGUUUCUGUUGCAAUUGGUCUCUAGUUGUCGAAUAAAUCCAAAGGACAUUUUCCAUUUCUUGAGAGGGAAUGACAGCAUUGACCAUCCUCUCUUUAUUGAAUCUCAUUUUAGCAUUGUUCCUUUUUCCUCACUGCCUCCUCUGUGUUGGUAUCCCUGCCUGGGAUCCUUCCUUCACCUAAUCCUUAGAUUUUGAUUCAAGAUGCCAAUUAUUAAAAAAGGAUGUGUUUUGGAGCUGGGCAAGCCCGAAUUAAAAUCCUAGCUUUGACACUUACUAGGUAUAUAAAUUACACAAGUUGUUUUACUGUUCUAAGUUGCAAUUGUCUCUUCGGUUAAAUAGGGAUAACACUCACUAGAUAACAGAAAUGUCAAGAUUAAGUGAGUAAAUAUCAUCUUUUAUCAUAAUAAAUGGUCAAUGAAAGCUAUUCAGUAACUGUCACUUUAUAAAAUGGCAUAGUAAAAUAAGCAGAAUUUGGAAAUUGGAUUCAACUGCAUCUGGGAUUUCCAGUUCUUGGUAAGUGUGAUAUUUGACAAAUUUUAAUGCUCAAUCUAAGUUUUCACUUCCCUUAACUACAAAAUGAAGGUAAAGCUGAUGGAAGAAUUAGAUGAAAUAACACAUGUGAAGGAAGAGAUAGCACUUGGUAUCUGCAGAGGCAGGAAAAGAUGUUAGACUCCUUUCUUUACUCUUUACACUUUCAUUUUCCCUAUAUGUUCACUCUUAGCACUCUUAUUAACAUGGCUUUGACUAUCAUGAUGAAAUCUGUGAGGGGAUGUCAUUCCUUGGCGGGCACAGAGGUUCAGUUAAAUGGGCGUCAGACCAUAAAGGCCAAAGAGACAUAUAAUGGUUAUCUGAUAGAUACAUUUUAUUCUGCCUUCAUUAUAGAUUCAAGCAACAAUUGCAUCUAAAGUCAGGAUCAGAUGGGAGGGCAUGUGUAUAGGAGAGGUUUGGUGAACCUCAGUCUUAAGAGGAAAAUGAGAUGGC
rnacentral:lncRNA from 10 species